rnacentral:rRNA from 1 species
UACGUAGGGGGCAAGCGUUGUCCGGAUUUAUUGGGCGUAAAGAGCGUGUAGGCGGCCAGAUAGGUCCGCUGUGAAAACUCGAGGCUCAACCUCGAGACGCCGAUGGAAACCAUUUGGCUAGAGUCCGGAAGAGGAGAGUGGAAUUCCUGGUGUAGCGGUGAAAUGCGCAGAUAUCAGGAAGAACACCCGUGGCUAAGGCGGCUCUCUAGUACGGUACUGACGCUGAGACGCGAAAGCGUGGGGAGCGAACAGG